rnacentral:rRNA from 1 species
UACGUAGGGUGCGAGCGUUAAUCGGAAUUACUGGGCGUAAAGCGUGCGCAGGCGGCUUUGCAAGACAGAUGUGAAAUCCCCGGGCUUAACCUGGGAACUGCAUUUGUGACUGCAUGGCUGGAGUGCGGCAGAGGGGAUGGAAUUCCCAGUGUAGCGGUGAAAUGCGUAGAUAUCAGGAAGAACACCCGUGGCGAAAGCGGCUCUCUGGAACGGUACUGACGCUGAGACGGCGAAAGCGUGGGGAGCGAACAGG